rnacentral:rRNA from 1 species
GAUGAACGCUGGCGGCGUGCCUAAUACAUGCAAGUCGAGCGAACAGACGAGGAGCUUGCUCCUCUGACGUUAGCGGCGGACGGGUGAGUAACACGUGGAUAACCUACCUAUAAUACUGGGAUAACUUCGGGAAACCGGAGCUAAUACCGGAUAAUAUAUUGAACCUCAUGGUUCAAUAGUGAAAUACGGUUUUGCUGUCACUUAUAGAUGGAUCCGCGCCGCAUUAGCUAGUUGGUAAGGUAACGGCUUACCAAGGCAACGAUGCGUAGCCGACCUGAGAGGGUGAUAGGCCACACGGGAACUGAGACACGGUCCAGACUCCUAAGGGAGGCAGCAGUAGGGAAUCUUCCGCAAUGGGCGAGAACCUGACGGAGCAACGCCGCGUGAGUGAUGAAGGUCUUCGGAUCGUAAAACUCUGUUAUUAGGGAAGAACAAAUGUGUAAGUAACUAUGCACGUAUUGACGGUACCUAAUAAGAAAGCCACGGCUAACUACGUG